GCCCCCAUAGUCUAGUCCGGUCAAGGAUGCAAGCCUCUCGAGCUUGAAACCCGGGUUCAAAUCCCGGUGGGGGCA
rnacentral:tRNA from 1 species